GCACUCCAUUGAAAUGCAGCGAGGGACGAACAGGUGGUACGUUAGUCCCGGCUUUUUUCUCAUACUUGAGCGAGAGGGAUUGAAGCAACAUGUGGAGGCACGCGGUCUCAUCGUCAACGGGUCGGCUUCGAGCCCUAGCAUCUUCGUCACACUCACUCUCAUGGCGAUCCUCUUCUCUCACACUCCGCCGAUCGCUGGCCUCCUCGCCGUCUUCGUCUUCAACAUCGUCGUCUUCCUCACCGCCGCCGUUUCAGACUCUCUUCUCUCCCCAAGCUUCCUCUCUUUACGGUGAUACUUUGAAGAAGGUUGAAGAUGUAAUGCCCAUUGCUACUGGACAUGAGCGAGAGGAGCUCGAGGCCGUGCUUGAGGGAAAAAACAUUCUUGAAAUCAAUUUUCCAGCUGGUCCUUUCGGUACCAAGGAAGCACCUGCUAUUGUCAAGUCUGUCUUUGACAAAAGAAUAAUUGGAUGCCCUGGUGGUGAGGGAGAAGAUGAGCAUGAUGUUGUUUGGUUUUGGCUAGAGAAAGGCAAGCCACAUGAAUGCCCCAUCUGUUCACAAUAUUUCAUGCUGGAAGUGGUUGGCCCUGGAGGUUCUCCUGAUGGCCAUGGAGACGAUGAUCACCAUUGAUCCAGCUUGGAAAAUUUUUGCUGGAAUAAAAUUUCGACUGAAUGAUGAGAAAACAGUUUGUUAUACGGACCAUUCCGCACUAGACUUCUUGCUGUUGGCCCGAAGCUCUCCAGGACCAUUCGUCGGCGGUUUUGGAGUAUCGGUGACUACAAUGAUGGCGGUGCUGGAUCCUUAAUACAAAGCUUCGAGUUCUACAAGGAACACUCGUUUUGGAAGGAUCACAAUGUGGAGGUAAUAAAUCAAAGAGGAAGGCGUUGUCGGCCUUUCUUUUGAAAGUACUUUUAUUGCCUCCGAUGCAAAACUUGCUUUGUUGAAGAAAAAAGAAACUAAAAUAAUUACUUUUGAAAUUUUAGUUCAAAAGUAGUUGAAGCACCUUUAUUUGCAUUCAUAUGCUUUCAUUUGUUGUGGAGUAACGGUUCCGCUGCCAACUCUG